CAUUUAGUAGAUGACAUCGAGCAAUCGUUGGUAUUUAUUAAAGAGCACUUCAUUAAAGCAGCGUUUCGCCGUGGCUACACCGAGACCCUGCUUUUUUUG
rnacentral:ncRNA from 1 species